AUAUGCUAGUUUGUUCUCUUUAUGUAAUUAAAGACAUACUUUUGUGCAAGGACUAUUAAAUGCAUUGUUGGCUGCUCUUGUGUAGCACACAUGAUAUUUCUUAUUACAUUAUUCAAACUUGUAGUUUAAGAUAUAUUUUUUAUAUAUAUAUUUUUCUAAGCUUUUAGUUUGUAGCUGUUAAUUUGAAUUGAUUUGUUUUUAAAUGUUUUAUGUUUCAUAAUGAAAGCAAUACGUUUAAAAUGUUAAGCGUUCGAAACGCUUUUCCUCGUCAAGAACGCUGAACAGUGACCGUGCAUAUGUUUUAGUCAAGCAUUAUACUUGAACCAUGUUAUGGCACUUUCAUUAUCUAAUGAUCGAUAUCACCCGUUCUUUACUCGUCAAAAAAUUAUAACCAGAGUUCUCUGUAGGCAGUUCACAGAUACCUAGGUAAGCCUCGUGUCGGCUUUGUUUUUUUUUUUAACUCGAACUAAACUAUCAGGUUGCAAAGUGUAUUAUUGUCAGAAUGGUCUGUGUCAACAUUCUACAUGUCCUAACUAAGUUAAAUAAAUAACAAAAAUAGGACAAAUUAAAGAGUAAGUCGUCAAGUUGGUUACAUAUUCCUUCUUUCUUAUACGUUACUUAUUCCCGAUUCCUUAUUCGUUACCUAUUCGGUACUUAUUCUUUAUUCGUUAACUAUUUGGUACUUAUUCCUAAUUCCUUUUUCGUUAUCUACUCAUUACUUAUUCCUUAUUCCUUAUUCGUUACCUAUUCGUUACACUAUCCUUAUUCUCUAUUCGUUACCAGUUACCUAUUCGUUACACAUUCCUCAUUACUUAUUCUUUGUUUACUUAUUCCUUAUUUGUAACUUAUUUAAUUUUAAUAACCCCCCUCAAAUGCUUUAUUUUCUUAUCUCUUGGUAAUAGAUCUUGGUAUUUCAAGGUGAAAUAACCUUUUUAGCGUGUACAUGUAUGUAUCCGUUUUGGCGCUAAGACUGGUCCCCUGUUGAUUACUUUUCCCCUAUUUGCUAUUUUAUACAUUGAAUCUUUUUAAUGCUUUUUUUCAUUUUCUCUUUUGUCUGCGGUGAUAAUUUGUGGUUCGUAGAAUUGAAAUAACACUGUUAGCGCGAAAGUAACCAUUUUUGCACUUGACAAAUACAAUGUUACUUAUUCCAUACUUUUUUGUUUCUCAUUCGAUUUUUUUUAUACAUCAGUAGGACAACCGGAUGUGCCUUUUUGGCCAAAAUGUGAUUCGGCGGCGCUCAGUAGUCCUACGCCGAAUAUUGGACUUUUUUGCGUCGGCCGACGUCAGCUGAAAAAUGGCGCGCUUUUGUAAAAACAUUUCAUUCGUUUACAGCAAAGUACCGGCGGUAAAUGCUGUUGAUUGUAAGCACAUUUAUAAGAGAAAAAUAUAUGAGUUUACUUAUUAUUUACAUGUUUGAACAAAAAAAUAAAAGAAAAUCUUAUUUUUUCACAUCUGAACAUAGAAUUUCGGAUUUCGAUAUUCUGCACUGUAGAAUUAAAUAGCGAUAUUAAAAAGGGGUACAAAAAAAUGCCUAUCCUUCAAUUACCUUAAAUUUUUUACAUCGUAAUUUCGCUAGUUUUUCAAAUCGAAAUCCGUAAAGAAAAGGGGUGUCCAAAGUAGGGCAAAAAAUUGUACCCAUUUUAAAGUAGGGGUCUAAGUUUUUUGAAGGUUUUUUCCUUGCAUGGCCGG
rnacentral:lncRNA from 1 species